rnacentral:rRNA from 1 species
AUUCCCUAGUAGCGGCGAGCGAGCGGGAAGAGCUCAAAUUUAUAAUCUGGCACCUUCGGUGUCCGAGUUGUAAUCUCUAGAAGUGUUUUCCGCGUUGGACCGCACACAAGUCUGUUGGAAUACAGCGGCAUAGUGGUGAAACCCCCGUAUAUGGUGCGGACGCCCAGCGCUUUGUGAUACACUUUCAAUGAGUCGAGUUGUUUGGGAAUGCAGCUCAAAUUGGGUGGUAAAUUCCAUCUAAAGCUAAAUAUUGGCGAGAGACCGAUAGCGAACAAGUACCGUGAGGGAAAGAUGAAAAGCACUUUGGAAAGAGAGUUAACAGUACGUGAAAUUGUUGGAAGGGAAACGCUUGAAGUCAGACUUGCUUGCCGGAGCUUGCUUCGGUUUGCAGGCCAGCAUCAGUUUUCCGGGGUGGAUAAUGACGGUUUGAAGGUAGCAGUCUCGGCUGUGUUAUAGCUUUCCGUUGGAUACAUCCUGGGGGACUGAGGAACGCAGCGUGCUUUUUGCGAAAGACUCGUCUUUUUCACGCUUAGGAUGCUGGUGGAAUGGCUUUAAACGACCCGUCUUGAAACCACGGACCA